rnacentral:rRNA from 1 species
UGCGUAGGCGGCUUUGUAAGUCAGGAGUGAAAGUUUGCGGCUCAACCGUAAAAUUGCUUUUGAUACUGCAUCGCUAGAAUUAGGAUGAGGUCAGCGGAAUGUGGCAUGUAGCGGUGAAAUGCAUAGAUAUGCCAUAGAACACCAAUUGCGAAGGCAGCUGGCUAGACCUAUAUUGACGCUGAGGCACGAAAGCGUGGGGAGCGAACAGGAUUAGAUACCCUGGUAGUC